UACGUAGGGGGCGAGCGUUGUCCGGAUUCAUUGGGCGUAAAGAGCUCGUAGGCGGCUUGGCAAGUCGGAUGUGAAACUCCAGGCUCAACCUGGAGCCGCCAUUCGAUACUGCUAUGGCUAGAGUCCGGAAGAGGAGAGUGGAAUUCCUGGUGUAGCGGUGAAAUGCGCAGAUAUCAGGAAGAACACCCGUGGCGAAGGCGGCUCUCUGGGACGGUACUGACGCUGAGACGCGAAGCGUGGGAGCGAACAGGAUAGA
rnacentral:rRNA from 1 species